rnacentral:rRNA from 1 species
AAACGACUCUCGGCAACGGAUAUCUCGGCUCACGCAUCGAUGAAGAACGUAGCAAAAUGCGAUACUUGGUGUGAAUUGCAGAAUCCCGUGAACCAUCGAGCUUUUGAACGCAAGUUGCGCCCGAAGCCAUUUGGUCGAGGGCACGUCUGCCUGGGCGUCACGCA